UUUUGGGAUUACAACAGACAAUAUUUGUUCAUGAUGAUGCAACAGCGGGACGAUUACAGCAUGUUUGUGCUUCCACAGCCAGCAAUAAAACACGUUUUUCAAUGAUGUCAAUUUUCAGUCAUUCUUGUAAGACAAUUAUACCUCCCGCCCAGAGGUGGGUAGUAACGCGCUACAUUUACUCCGUUACAUUUACUUGAGUAACUUUUGGGAUAAAUUGUACUUCUACGAGUAGUUUUUAUGCAACAUACUUUUACUUUUACUUGAGUAUAUUUAUAGAGAAGAAACGCUACUUUUACUCCGUUCCAUUUAUCUACAAUCAGCUCGCUACUCGCUACUUUUUUUUUUAUCGAUCUAUUAAUGUUUGUUUUGGUUUAUGACAGAGCUUCAAAGUAGAAUCUACGCAUGCCUGCUUUUCACCAAUCACAUGCAGUCACUGGUGACGUUGGACCAAUCAAACAGAGCCAGGCGGUCACGUGACCCGACUUAAACAAGUUGAAAAACUUAUUGGGGUGUUACCAUUUAGUGGUCAACUGUACGGAAUAUGUACUGUACUGUGCAAUCUACUAAUAAAAGUUUCAAUAAAUCAAUCAAAAGUGUAAAGAAAAAAAGACACUUUUUAUUUCAACCGUACUUCCUGUCACAAGCCUAAAGACUGAUCGCACAGUUCCUGUCUUCACAAUAAAAGCGCCGCUCCAUCGCGCCUGCGCUAACAAUAUAAGAGUUUCCGAAAGCCAGCGCGAACAAGCUAGCAAACUACGGAGUUUGCCGCCAAUGUAUUUCUUGUAAAGUGUAUAAAAACGAAUAUGGAAGCUGGACAAAUAAGAUGCCAAAAACCAACGACUUUCAUGUGGUAUUGGACAGAAAAGAGGAACUUUUUUUUCCUUCCAUUUGAAAACAUGGACGUUAUCAUCAAUACUGUCUGAUUCCAAUCAAUGCAAGUCAUCAGAAUCAGCCCACGACGUCUGAGACAUGCUUGACCUACGACGUCAUAAACAGCGACUUACUGAAGACGCUAACACCGCAUUCGACUGACCGCCACUGUCGGCGAUCUCGGGUCAGCAUGGCCACACCUCAACGUGAUGAACAUGAUUCGGACUUUUCGACCACAUAAAAUUGGCGUCACGAACAGGAUGAGGCCCCGGGUUCAACCCCAGAAUUUCCUACCACAUAAAAUCUACCUCAGUGGACCUCAUGACACUCUGGCUUACAUUUCAAAGGCAAGUGAGAAAAAUGAAGUUGAUGUCAGUGAUGUCACUGUAAUGUGUCCAUCCAUCCAUCCGUUUUUCUACCGCUUAUUCCCUAAUGGGGUCGCUGGCGCCUAUCUCAGCUACAAUCGGGCGGAAGGCGGGGUACACCCUGGACAAGUCGCAACCUCAUCACAGGGCACAAUACAUAAAAUACUCUAAUCUACAAAAAAAAAAAUGAAUAAAACAGUUCAUGCUGAUUUUUAAUCAAAAUUAAGUCAGUAUUAAAGUGGAAUUUUGCCUAUCGUGUCACGACAGGAAAACUGUCCAAAAGUUAAAGCAACGGAACAAAAACUUUACAAUUGGGAAGUAAUUUGAUACUAAUUUUAUACACUUUUUCCAACAAACUCAUCAUUCACACCUGUAAUAUUUAAAGAAAUGAGUUUGUUUUAUACAAAAGCAAAAAACCAGUGAAAUUACCACCUCGUAAAUGCUAAAUAAAAAGAAUAGAACAAAUCCUUUUCAACUUAUAUUCAAUUGAAUAGACUGCAGAGGCAAGAUACUUAAUGUUCGAACUGAGAAACGUAUUUUUUUAACCACACUCAGUGCAGGUUUGGGAACUGAGGAGACACGAUUUUGAAGUGGAAUUCUUUCCCAUUCUUGCUUGAUGUACAGCUUAAGUUGUUCAACAGUCUCCCGCCUCAUAUUUUAGCCUUCACACAUUUUCAAUGUCUGGACUACAGGCAAGCCAGUCUAGUACCCGCACUCUUUUACUAUGAAGCCACGCUGUUGUAACACGUGGUUCGGCAUUAUCUUGCUGAAAUAAGCAGGGGCGUCCAUGAUAACGUUGCUUGGAUGGCAACAUAUGUUGCUCCAAAAGCUGUAUGUACCUUUCAGCAUUAAUGGUGCCUUCACAGAUGUGUAAGU